rnacentral:rRNA from 1 species
AUUGAACGCUGGCGGAAUGCUUUACGCAUGCAAGUCGAACGGUAGAGGGGGCAACCCCUCGAGAGUGGCGUACGGGUGAGUAAUAUAUCGGAACGUGCCCAGUCGUGGGGAUAACGUAGCGAAAGUUACGCUAAUACCGCAUACGAUCUAAGGAUGAAAGCGGGGGAUCGCAAGACCUCGCGCGAGUGGAGCGGCCGAUAUCAGAUUAGGUAGUUGGUGGGGUAAAGGCUCACCAAGCCACCGAUCUGUAGCUGGUCUGAGAGGACGACCAGCCACACUGGAACUGAGACACGGUCCAGACUCCUACGGGAGGCAGCAGUGGGGAAUUUUGGACACUGGACGCAAGUCUGAUCCAGCCAUUCCGCGUGCAGGAUGAAGGCCCUCGGGUUGUAAACUGCUUUUGUACGGAACGAAAAGGUCUCUCUUAAUACGGGGGACUCAUGACGGUACCGUAAGAAUGAGCACCGGCUAACUACGUGCCAGCCGCCGCCGUAA